CAUCAUAGCGGAGGAAAGAAACUAACAAGGAUUCCCCUAGUAACUGCGAGUGAAGCGGGAAAAGCUCAAAUUUAAAAUCUGGCGGCUUUGGUCGUCCGAGUUGUAUUCUAGAGAAGUGUUUUCCGCGUUGGACCGUGUAUAAGUCUCUUGGAAUAGAGCGUCAUAGAGGGUGAGAAUCCCGUCUUUGACACGGACUACCAAUGCUUUGUGAUACACUCUCAAAGAGUCGAGUUGUUUGGGAAUGCAGCUCAAAAUGGGUGGUAAAUUCCAUCUAAAGCUAAAUAUUGGCGAGAGACCGAUAGCGAACAAGUACCGUGAGGGAAAGAUGAAAAGCACUUUGGAAAGAGAGUUAAACAGUACGUGAAAUUGCUGAAAGGGAAACGCUUGAAGUCAGUCGCGUUAGCUAGAACUCAACCAGGCUUGCUUGGCGUAUUUUCUAGUUAACGGGCCAGCAUCAGUUUUGACCGCAGGAAAAGGGCCAGGGAAAUGUGGCAUCUUCGGAUGUGUUAUAGUCUCUGGUCGUAUACUGUGAUUGGGACUGAGGACCGCAGCACGCGCAAGCUGUGCUUAGGAUGCUGGCGUAAUGGCUUUAAACGACCCGUCUUGAAACACGGACCAAGGAGUCUAACAAACCUGCGAGUAUUUGGGUGGUAAACCCGAGUGCGCAAUGAAAGUGAAAGUUGGGAUCCCUGUCGUGGGGAGCACCGACGCCCGGACCAGACCUUCUGUGACGGAUCUGCGGUAGAGCAUGUUUGUUGGGACCCGAAAGAUGGUGAACUAUGCCUGAAUAGGGUGAAGCCAGAGGAAACUCUGGUGGAGGCUCGUAGCGAUUCUGACGUGCAAAUCGAUCGUCAAAUUUGGGUAUAGGGGCGAAAGACUAAUCGAACCAUCUAGUACUGGGUCUCAAAAAUC
rnacentral:rRNA from 1 species